CCAUGGAGGAUUUCCAACCUCGUUGAGGAGUCAUUCGUGAAAGAAGACUCCUUACGGGAGUCUUCUUCAAAUUUAUUUAUUUUUUUUCCAUUUUUGCUACUUCAAGAAUCAUGCUUUGGUGUGGGGUGUUACAGUAUCACCCUUACCUUUCAAAUAACUGGUGAUGACUUUAUCAAUGAUCCGAGAUCGAACUGGUGAUGACUUCAUCAAUGAUC
rnacentral:lncRNA from 1 species